AUGCUUUGUAAUGGUAAUAUAGUUUUGUUUGAUCAUAUUAAUGUGACAUUGUUUUAUUUUAUGCUUUUGGGUGAAACUAUAACCUUUUCUUAUAAAAAUAAUAGUAGUGGUAUCAUUUUUUCAAAGAGUGGGACUAAAAACAUUACCUGUGAUUUGUCUAAAACUAAGAAUAAAUUUGUUUUACGUUCAUAG